CGACCAUGUGAAUGUAAGCAAAUCUCAAAAAUAACGUCUCAGUUCGGAUUGUAGUCUGCAACUCGACUACAUGAAGCUGGAAUCGCUAGUAAUCGCGAAUCAGAAUGUCGCGGUGAAUACGUUCCCGGGUCUUGUACACACCGCCCGUCACACCAUGGGAGUCAGUAACGCCCGAAGUCAGUGACCCAACCGAUCUGGAGGGAGCUGCCGAAGGUGGGACCGAUAACUGGGGUGAAGUCGUAACAAGGUACC
rnacentral:rRNA from 1 species